CUCUGAAUGUCCUUCUACCUCAUGGAUCUCUCACUCCCUGAGUCUCCUUCCCAAGACACUGUGGUCCAGAUGUUUAAAGAGCCUCCUCCGUUGGAACCUACAACCAUAACCCAUGCAAGUAAAGAAACCAAGGCAUAGAGGUUGAACAACCUGCCCAAGCCCCACAGUUAACCUGGCACAUGUCCCAAGGCUCGCGAUGUACCGUGGCAUGGGGACCAAACCUGAGACCGGGAGAUCUUACGAC